GACAGAGGGUGCAAACGUUGUUCGGAAUUACUGGGCGUAAAGCGCGUGUAGGCGGCCCUGCAAGUCGGGUGUGAAAUCCCACGGCUCAACCGUGGAAGUGCACUCGAAACUGCAGGGCUAGAGUCCUGGAGAGGAAGGUGGAAUGCUUGGUGUAGAGGUGAAAUUCGUAGAUAUUCGGAAGAACACCAGUGGCGAAGGCGAACUUACUGGACACAUAUUGACGCUGAGGUGCGAAAGCGUGGGGAGCAAACAGG
rnacentral:rRNA from 1 species